rfam:Ipomoea nil DNA, scaffold: scaffold1074, cultivar: Tokyo-kokei standard.
GUUGUUGUGGUGUAGUUGUUAUCAUGUUAGUCUUACACACAGAAGGUCCCCAGUUCGAUCUUGGGCAGCAACA